rnacentral:rRNA from 1 species
GAUGAACGCUGGCGGUGUGCCUAAUACAUGCAAGUCGAGCGAACGGACGAGAAGCUUUCUUUUCUGAUGUUAGCGGCGGACGGGUGAGUAACACGUGGAUAACCUACCUAUAAGACUGGGAUAACUUCGGGAAACCGGAGCUAAUACCGGCUAAUAUUUUGAACCGCAUGGUUCAAAAGUGAAAGACGGUCUUGCUGUCACUAAUAGAUGGAUCCGCGCUGCAUUAGCUAGUUGGUAAGGUAACGGCUUACCAAGGCAACGAUGCAUAGCCGACCUGAGAGGGUGAUCGGCCACACUGGAACUGAGACACGGUCCAGACUCCUACGGGAGGCAGCAGUAGGGAAUCUUCCGCAAUGGGCGAAAGCCUGACGGAGCAACGCCGCGUGAGUGAUGAAGGUCUUCGGAUCGUAAAACUCUGUUAUUAGGGAAGAACAUAUGUGUAAGUAACUGUGCACAUCUUGACGGUACCUAAUCAGAAAGCCACGGCUAACUACGUG